rnacentral:rRNA from 1 species
CACGUAGGGUGCAAGCGUUGUCCGGAAUCAUUGGGCGUAAAGAGCUCGUAGGCGGCUUAGUAAGUCGGGUGUGAAAACCCCAGGCUCAACCUGGGGACGCCACCCGAUACUGCUAUAGCUAGAGUCCAGUAGGGGAGUGUGGAAUUCCCAGUGUAGCGGUGAAAUGCGCAGAUAUUGGGAGGAACACCAGCGGCGAAGGCGGCACUCUGGGCUGGUACUGACGCUGAGGAGCGAAAGCGUGGGGAGCAAACAGG